rnacentral:misc_RNA from 1 species
UAAGGAUCUUUUGGCAACUGGCGGUCUUCGUGGCCGUCGGUCCUUGCCCGGCAUCCGCUGGUGCAAAGCCUCAAACCCCCUGUCUACGUGUACCUUUUGUAGUUUCCUCGGCAGGUCGCCCUGCCGUUAGGAACCACUUAAACCCUUUGUUUUAGCAUCAAAUAUUCUGAUAAUAACACAAUCGUUA